GUUACUAGUUCAGGACGAAGUGAAGGUAAAUGUCAACAUGCUUAAAUGCCUUUGUCUGCUGUAAUAAAACCUACCCUCUACCUCAAAAGCUCUCUAAUGAAAUGUACAUUUAUGUAUCUGCGUUACAGGUUAUUCACAAGUGGCUCCAGUCUGGUUUGGGGGUCUACGCUUUCUCAUCCUGUCCUGCCACCCAAGUGAAGUUAUUCACAAGUGGCUCCAGUUUGGUUUGGGGGUCUACGCUUUCUCAUCCUGUCCUGCCACCCAAGUGAAGUUAUUCACAAGUGGCUCCAGUCUGGUUUGGGGGUCUACGCUUUCUCAUCCUGUCCUGAGUGAUUCUUGACAUUGAAAUUAUAUCAAAAUUUGUCAAUAAAUGUUCAUACUUUUGUCAUUAA